rnacentral:rRNA from 1 species
GGUUAAGCGACUAAGCGUACACGGUGGAUGCCCUGGCAGUCAGAGGCGAUGAAGGACGUGCUAAUCUGCGAUAAGCGUCGGUAAGGUGAUAUGAACCGUUAUAACCGGCGAUUUCCGAAUGGGGAAACCCAGUGUGUUUCGACACACUAUCAUUAACUGAAUCCAUAGGUUAAUGAGGCGAACCGGGGGAACUGAAACAUCUAAGUACCCCGAGGAAAAGAAAUCAACCGAGAUUCCCCCAGUAGCGGCGAGCGAACGGGGAGCAGCCCAGAGCCUGAAUCAGUGUGUGUGUUAGUGGAAGCGUCUGGAAAGGCGCGCGAUACAGGGUGACAGCCCCGUACACAAAAAUGCACAUACUGUGAGCUCGAUGAGUAGGGCGGGACACGUGGUAUCCUGUCUGAAUAUGGGGGGACCAUCCUCCAAGGCUAAAUACUCCUGACUGACCGAUAGUGAACCAGUACCGUGAGGGAAAGGCGAAAAGAACCCCGGCGAGGGGAGUGAAAAAGAACCUGAAACCGUGUACGUACAAGCAGUGGGAGCACGCUUAGGCGUGUGACUGCGUACCUUUUGUAUAAUGGGUCAGCGACUUAUAUUCUGUAGCAAGGUUAACCGAAUAGGGGAGCCGAAGGGAAACCGAGUCUUAACUGGGCGUUAAGUUGCAGGGUAUAGACCCGAAACCCGGUGAUCUAGCCAUGGGCAGGUUGAAGGUUGGGUAACACUAACUGGAGGACCGAACCGACUAAUGUUGAAAAAUUAGCGGAUGACUUGUGGCUGGGGGUGAAAGGCCAAUCAAACCGGGAGAUAGCUGGUUCUCCCCGAAAGCUAUUUAGGUAGCGCCUCGUGAAUUCAUCUCCGGGGUAGAGCACUGUUUCGGCAAGGGGGUCAUCCCGACUUACCAACCCGAUGCAAACUGCGAAUACCGGAGAAUGUUAUCACGGGAGACACACGGCGGGUGCUAACGUCCGUCGUGAAGAGGGAAACAACCCAGACCGCCAGCUAAGGUCCCAAAGUCAUGGUUAAGUGGGAAACGAUGUGGGAAGGCCCAGACAGCCAGGAUGUUGGCUUAGAAGCAGCCAUCAUUUAAAGAAAGCGUAAUAGCUCACUGGUCGAGUCGGCCUGCGCGGAAGAUGUAACGGGGCUAAACCAUGCACCGAAGCUGCGGCAGCGACGCUUAUGCGUUGUUGGGUAGGGGAGCGUUCUGUAAGCCUGUGAAGGUGUGCUGUGAGGCAUGCUGGAGGUAUCAGAAGUGCGAAUGCUGACAUAAGUAACGAUAAAGCGGGUGAAAAGCCCGCUCGCCGGAAGACCAAGGGUUCCUGUCCAACGUUAAUCGGGGCAGGGUGAGUCGACCCCUAAGGCGAGGCCGAAAGGCGUAGUCGAUGGGAAACAGGUUAAUAUUCCUGUACUUGGUGUUACUGCGAAGGGGGGACGGAGAAGGCUAUGUUGGCCGGGCGACGGUUGUCCCGGUUUAAGCGUGUAGGCUGGUUUUCCAGGCAAAUCCGGAAAAUCAAGGCUGAGGCGUGAUGACGAGGCACUACGGUGCUGAAGCAACAAAUGCCCUGCUUCCAGGAAAAGCCUCUAAGCAUCAGGUAACAUCAAAUCGUACCCCAAACCGACACAGGUGGUCAGGUAGAGAAUACCAAGGCGCUUGAGAGAACUCGGGUGAAGGAACUAGGCAAAAUGGUGCCGUAACUUCGGGAGAAGGCACGCUGAUAUGUAGGUGAAGUCCCUCGCGGAUGGAGCUGAAAUCAGUCGAAGAUACCAGCUGGCUGCAACUGUUUAUUAAAAACACAGCACUGUGCAAACACGAAAGUGGACGUAUACGGUGUGACGCCUGCCCGGUGCCGGAAGGUUAAUUGAUGGGGUCAGCGCAAGCGAAGCUCUUGAUCGAAGCCCCGGUAAACGGCGGCCGUAACUAUAACGGUCCUAAGGUAGCGAAAUUCCUUGUCGGGUAAGUUCCGACCUGCACGAAUGGCGUAAUGAUGGCCAGGCUGUCUCCACCCGAGACUCAGUGAAAUUGAACUCGCUGUGAAGAUGCAGUGUACCCGCGGCAAGACGGAAAGACCCCGUGAACCUUUACUAUAGCUUGACACUGAACAUUGAGCCUUGAUGUGUAGGAUAGGUGGGAGGCUUAGAAGUGUGGACGCCAGUCUGCAUGGAGCCGACCUUGAAAUACCACCCUUUAAUGUUUGAUGUUCUAACGUUGACCCGUAAUCCGGGUUGCGGACAGUGUCUGGUGGGUAGUUUGACUGGGGCGGUCUCCUCCUAAAGAGUAACGGAGGAGCACGAAGGUUGGCUAAUCCUGGUCGGACAUCAGGAGGUUAGUGCAAUGGCAUAAGCCAGCUUGACUGCGAGCGUGACGGCGCGAGCAGGUGCGAAAGCAGGUCAUAGUGAUCCGGUGGUUCUGAAUGGAAGGGCCAUCGCUCAACGGAUAAAAGGUACUCCGGGGAUAACAGGCUGAUACCGCCCAAGAGUUCAUAUCGACGGCGGUGUUUGGCACCUCGAUGUCGGCUCAUCACAUCCUGGGGCUGAAGUAGGUCCCAAGGGUAUGGCUGUUCGCCAUUUAAAGUGGUACGCGAGCUGGGUUUAGAACGUCGUGAGACAGUUCGGUCCCUAUCUGCCGUGGGCGCUGGAGAACUGAGGGGGGCUGCUCCUAGUACGAGAGGACCGGAGUGGACGCAUCACUGGUGUUCGGGUUGUCAUGCCAAUGGCACUGCCCGGUAGCUAAAUGCGGAAGAGAUAAGUGCUGAAAGCAUCUAAGCACGAAACUUGCCCCGAGAUGAGUUCUCCCUGACUCCUUGAGAGUCCUGAAGGAACGUUGAAGACGACGACGUUGAUAGGCCGGGUGUGUAAGCGCAGCGAUGCGUUGAGCUAACCGGUACUAAUGAACCGUGAGGCUUAACCUU